rnacentral:lncRNA from 10 species
CAAGAAUGCCUGACUCACCAAAUGAUUUCCUAGAAUAGUUAGCUGGGUGGAGACUCACCAAGUUAAUAACUAAACCCAACCCUCAAGUCCAUUGGCAAAGGACAUAUUUGAGCUUAAUGACUCUGUAUACACCCAGAAAGAUAAAGGAGGCUUUGAGAUCCUGCUUGGUAGACUGGGAAGAAGAAAAUGACUCAUUAGGUACCUGGAACACUGAAUGGCCUGCACUGGAAAUAUUUUGAAAGGACAGUGGAAAAGCUGCUGGAAAAAAAUGCGAAAACAAUUUUUUGACUUGAGUUCAUAUUUUUCAUUCAAUGUCUGCGGGGCCCUCAAUGUAACUUUUUUUUUUUUUUGAGAGGGGUCAUCCUCCAAUCAUUAACUACUUCUAAUCUUCACUGCUACACAGAGUUUCCAAUAUUUAGCAACAGAUGGCUUUGCUUUUACCUUAUAGAUGAGGCCAAAGCACCAGGAAUAACUAACCUCAAAUUUGUAACCGUUCUGCUUUUUGCCACCCAACAUACCCUGCAGUGGCUCUCAAACCUGUACCUGAGGAAAGUGGUCCACUCCCACCAGUGAGAAGACUCACAGGGCAGCAGGGAUUCUUAGCUAGAGGGCAUAGCCAUUGAAAGAGAUGAAAACGGAAUCUCCUGGAGUGUGUGUGAUUUCAAAAAGCUCCCCAGAAAAUUAGUCUGGCAGCAGGAUGGAGGAUGGCUUGGAGAGAAGAGCAAAAAGAAGCAGGGAGGGUUGUUGGGAAGACGGAAACAGGUCUGAGACAAACAAAGAAGUCUUGACAGCACUUGAGCAACUGAAGAAAAGGGAGGAAGGGUGAGUUUUGAAAAUAAUUUGAAUCAAAUAUCAAUAGGACAUAUUUGCUGUUGGAUUGCGAGAAUAGGGAGAAGAUAAAGACUCAAGAUCUUCAAUCUGGGCUUCUUCCCUCUAUCCUGCCUUCUUCACAUAUUGCCAUUUUCUGUCUCUUCCUAACUGCCAAACUUCUUGAAAGAGUUGUUCUCACUUACUGUGUUCACAAUCUUACUUCUUUCUCACCACUUUAAUGAAAUGGUUCUGGAAAAGGUCAUAAAUGACUUAACUUAUAAAUGGAGUGGCCUCUUUUCAGUCCUCAUUCUCUUAGCACCCUACAGAGCGUUUGGGAAUAUUGACUUCUCUCUUCAUCCUAAAACAUUUGCUUCCAUGGGCUUUUAUAACGUUGCACCUAUUUGUCUCUUCUCCCACACCUCUGUUUACUUUUUAAAAUCUUUGAAUGGCUCUUGUCAUUCUGUUAACAUCUUAUAUAUGUGGGUCCUUGGAAUUUUAUUCUUUUUUUUUUUUUUUUCUGAGACUGGGUCUCGCUCUGUCGCCCAGCCUGGAGUGCAGUGGUGUGAUCUUGGCUCACCGCAACCUCUGCCUCCCAGGUUCAAGUGAUUCUCCUGCCUCAGCCUCCCAAGUAGCUGGGAUUACAGGCACGUGCCACCACACCUAGCUAAUUUUUGUAUUUUUUGGUAGAGAUGGGAUUUCACCAUGUUGGCCAGGCUGGUCUCAAACCUCUGACCACAAGUGAUCUGCCCGCCUUGGCCUUGCAAAAUGCUGGGAUUACAGGCAUGAGCCACCAUGCCCAGCCCAGAAUUUUAUUCUUACUCUUCUUAUCACCUCAUUCCCUGAAUCCCCCACACCACUGCCAAAUUCUGAGUCAUCAACUUCUAUAACUUUGCCUAUCAUUUACAGCAAAUCCCAAAAUUACAGCUUAUGCCCAAAUGGCUCUCCUGAAGUAUAGACUUGUAGUUUCCAUUGCCUUCUGAAUGUCUCUACUUGGAUGACUCAUAAUCAUUUCAAAAUCACGAUGUUCAAAACCAAAUUUCAUAUAUCCUCCACCCACACAAAAAACAACAAAACCCACUUUUCCUUCUCCAUUUCCUAUCUCAGUUAAUGAUAUUGCUCUCCAAUUAUUUAACUAAGCUAAAUCUGUCCAUGCUUCUCCAUUAAACACCCAUAUAUGGUUUGUUUUGUGUUAUCCUCUUGACUCUCCAUACUCCGUAUCUACUGCCAUUGCCUUUUUCCAGGUCUAUGUAGUUUCCCACUGAGACUCCUCCUAACUCAUCCCAGUUCAUCUAGUUGCUCUACACUCUA